rnacentral:rRNA from 1 species
GAUGAACGCUGGCGGCGUGCCUAAUACAUGCAAGUCGAGCGAACAGACGAGGAGCUUGCUCCUCUGACGUUAGCGGCGGACGGGUGAGUAACACGUGGAUAACCUACCUAUAAGACUGGGAUAACUUCGGGAAACCGGAGCUAAUACCGGAUAAUAUAUUGAACCGCAUGGUUCAAUAGUGAAAGACGGUUUUGCUGUCACUUAUAGAUGGAUCCGCGCCGCAUUAGCUAGUUGGUAAGGUAACGGCUUACCAAGGCAACGAUGCGUAGCCGACCUGAGAGGGUGAUCGGCCACACUGGAACUGAGACACGGUCCAGACUCCUACGGGAGGCAGCAGUAGGGAAUCUUCCGCAAUGGGAGAAAGCUUGACGGAGCAACGCCGCGUGAGUGAUGAAGGUCUUCGGAUCGUAAAACUCUGUUAUUAGGGAAGAACAAAUGUGUAAGUAACUAUGCACGUCUUGACGGUACCUAAUCAGAAAGCCACGGCUAACUACGUG